rnacentral:rRNA from 1 species
GUGGGGAAUAUUGGACAAUGGGCGCAAGCCUGAUCCAGCCAUGCCGCGUGAGUGAUGAAGGCCUUAGGGUUGUAAAGCUCUUUCAGUGGGGACGAUAAUGACGGUACCCACAGAAGAAGCCCCGGCUAACUUCGUGCCAGCAGCCGCGGUAAUACGAAGGGGGCUAGCGUUGUUCGGAUUUACUGGGCGUAAAGCGCACGUAGGCGGAUCGUUAAGUCGGGGGUGAAAUCCUGGAGCUCAACUCCAGAACUGCCUUCGAUACUGGCGAUCUUGAGUCCGGAAGAGGUGAGUGGAACUCCUAGUGUAGAGGUGGAAUUCGUAGAUAUUAGGAAGAACACCAGUGGCGAAGGCGGCUCACUGGUCCGGUACUGACGCUGAGGUGCGAAAGCGUGGGGAGCAAACAGGAUUAGAUACCCCUGUAGUCC